CCUACGGGUGGCAGCAGUGAGGAAUAUUGGUCAAUGGACGAGAGUCUGAACCAGCCAAGUAGCGUGAAGGAUGACUGCCCUAUGGGUUGUAAACUUCUUUUAUAAAGGAAUAAAACGAGGCACGUGUGCCUUUUUGCAUGUACUUUAUGAAUAAGGAUCGGCUAACUCCGUGCCAGCAGCCGCGGUAAUACGGAGGAUCCGAGCGUUAUCCGGAUUUAUUGGGUUUAAAGGGAGCGUAGAUGGGUUUUUAAGUCAGUUGUGAAAGUUUGCGGCUCAACCGUAAAAUUGCAAUUGAUACUGGCAGUCUAGAGUACAGUUGAGGUAGGCAGAAUUCGUGGUGUAGCGGUGAAAUGCUUAGAUAUCACGAAGAACCCCGAUUGCGAAGGCAGCUUACUAAACUGUGACUGACAUUGAUGCUCGAAAGUGUGGGUAUCAAACAGGAUUAGAUACCCUUGUAGUC
rnacentral:rRNA from 1 species